UACGUAGGGUGCAAGCGUUGUCCGGAAUUAUUGGGCGUAAAGAGCUCGUAGGCGGUCAGUCGCGUCUGCUGUGAAAACUCGGGGCUUAACUCCGGGCCUGCAGUGGGUACGGGCUGACUAGAGUGCGGUAGGGGAGACUGGAAUUCCUGGUGUAGCGGUGAAAUGCGCAGAUAUCAGGAGGAACACCGGUGGCGAAGGCGGGUCUCUGGGCCGUAACUGACGCUGAGGAGCGAAAGCGUGGGGAGCGAACAGG
rnacentral:rRNA from 1 species